rnacentral:rRNA from 1 species
UACGAAGGGGGCUAGCGUUGUUCGGAAUUACUGGGCGUAAAGGGCGCGUAGGCGGCGUGUCAAGUCAGGCGUGAAAGCCCCGGGCUCAACCUGGGAACCGCGCUUGAGACUGGCAUGCUCGAGUUCGGGAGAGGAUGGUGGAAUUCCCAGUGUAGAGGUGAAAUUCGUAGAUAUUGGGAAGACCACCGAUGGCGAAGGCAGCCAUCUGGACCGACACUGACGCUGAGGCGCGAAAGCGUGGGGAGCAAACAGG